rnacentral:rRNA from 1 species
AUUGAACGCUGGCGGCAGGCCUAACACAUGCAAGUCGAACGAGUGGCGGACGGGUGAGUAAUUUCUGGGAAACUGCCUGAUGGAGGGGGAUAACUACUGGAAACGGUAGCUAAUACCUCAUACCAUCGGAUGUGCCCAGAUGGGAUUAGCUAGUAGGUGGGGUAACGGCUCACCUAGGCGACGAUCCCUAGCUGGUCUGAGAGGAUGACAAUCCACACUGGAACUGAGACGUGGUCCAGACUCCGACGGGAGGCAGCAGUGGGGAAUAUUGGACAAUGGGCGCAAGCCUGAUGCAGCCAUGCCGCGUGUAGGAAGAAGGCCUUCGGGUUGUAAAGUACUUUCAGCGGGGAGGCGUUACCCGCAGAAGAAGCACCGGCUAACUCCGUGCCAGCAGCCGCGGUAAUUC